rnacentral:lncRNA from 1 species
UCAGAUAAGAGUUGUUGUGCUUCAGACUGCUUGUGAUACAGGAUAUAAUGUAGUAUUGUGGGGAGAAAACAGACACACGGAGAUAGUAAAUUUAUUCAGGCAUUUUUCUCAAAGGCUGAGUGCCUUGAAACCUGCUGUGCUCAUAUUCAGACACGGGGUCUUUAUCACCAAUUCAUCUUAGACAUUGUGGAUUGGACUUUUUUUUGCCUGUUAGAAUUUAAGAAAUGGUCAUUAGACGGUGGAAUCACAAAACCAUAUGCUUUUGCUAAAAUGACAACACAUAUGACCAUUAGGAGCUGUGGAAUGCGAUGCUCAGUAUUUACCGUGUGCCGUGCAAUUAAGCUAUGUGACUCUGGGCAAGUCUCACUGGACAAGACACUUAAUCUCCAUUGCCUCGUCCUUACCACUCUUCUGCUUUGCAACUGAGACUUAAUAUUGAUUCGACAACAGAAGGUAAUGGUUUUAAAAAUCAAAUCAAAUUAUUUUCCAAUUUGAUCUCUCUGCAUCUCUUGACACUUUUAUUAACUAGCCCCUCCAUCUGUUUCAGAGAUACCUGCAUUUUCUCUUCUUUCCUUAAUAAUUCCUUUUUUCUUUCUCACUGACUCCUCAUCUUUCUGAACUUUUAAACUGCAUAUUCCUCAAAAGUCUAUCCUUGAUCUUCUUUUCUUCUGAAGAUACUCCCUUGGCAAAUAUUCACUUCUAUUAAAUAAUAGCAGUUAAUAUGUAUUUAUUUGUGUUUCUAUAUUUAUAGUUAUGACUUCUCUUUUGAACCCAAUAGUUAUAUGUACAACCAUCUAUCAAAUAUCCCCAGGUGGAUUUCUCAUUAAGUACCUCAGAC